rnacentral:rRNA from 1 species
GGAUGAGUGGCGAACGGGUGAGUAACACGUGAGUAACCUGCCCCCUUCUUCUGGAUAACCGCAUGAAAGUGUGGCUAAUACGGGAUAUUCUGGGUCUGUCGCAUGACGGGUCCGGGAAAGAUGCGCCUUUGGGUGUUUUUGGUGGGGGAUGGGCUCGCGGCCUAUCAGCUUGUUGGUGGGGUGAUGGCCUACCAAGGCGGUGACGGGUAGCCGGCCUGAGAGGGUGGACGGUCACACUGGGACUGAGACACGGCCCAGACUCCUACGGGAGGCAGCAGUGGGGAAUAUUGCACAAUGGGCGCAAGCCUGAUGCAGCGACGCCGCGUGAGGGAUGGAGGCCUUCGGGUUGUGAACCUCUUUCGCCAGUGAAGCAGGCCUGUCCCUUUUGUGGGUGGGUUGACGGUAGCUGGAUAAGAAGCGCCGGCUAACUACGUGCCAGCAGCCGCGGUAAUACGUAGGGCGCGAGCGUUGUCCGGAAUUAUUGGGCGUAAAGAGCUCGUAGGCGGCUGGUCGCGUCUGUCGUGAAAUCCUCUGGCUUAACUGGGGGCUUGCGGUGGGUACGGGCCGGCUUGAGUGCGGUAGGGGAGACUGGAACUCCUGGUGUAGCGGUGGAAUGCGCAGAUAUCAGGAAGAACACCGGUGGCGAAGGCGGGUCUCUGGGCCGUUACUGACGCUGAGGAGCGAAAGCGUGGGGAGCGAACAGGAUUAGAUACCCUGGUAGUCCACGCCGUAAACGUUGGGCACUAGGUGUGGGGGGCCUUUUCCGGGUUUUCCGCGCCGUAGCUAACGCAUUAAGUGCCCCGCCUGGGGAGUACGGCCGCAAGGCUAAAACUCAAAUGAAUUGACGGGG